UACGAAGGGGGCUAGCGUUGUUCGGAAUUACUGGGCGUAAAGCGCACUUAGGCGGACUUGUAAGUCAGGGGUGAAAUCCCGGGGCUCAACCCCGGAACUGCCUUUGAUACUGCAAGUCUAGAGGUCGAGAGAGGUGAGUGGAAUUCCGAGUGUAGAGGUGAAAUUCGUAGAUAUUCGGAGGAACACCAGUGGCGAAGGCGGCUCACGGGCUCGAUAGUGACGCUGAGGUGCGAAAGCGUGGGGAGCAAACAGG
rnacentral:rRNA from 1 species